CGCAGCCCUCAAGGAGCUUACACAAGAGGUAGGGGUGUGGGGAGCACGGAGGACCAGAGUCAGGAUGCCCGUGUUCUCUUCCUGAUUCUGUAGACUUAGCACAGCUCUCCGACUUGCUCAUUUGACACUUUCUUCCUGAGCCCUUAUUGUGUUCGUGGUUCCGUGUUGGAGAACACAAGGAUAAGUUCAAUGGUUCUUGCCCAGAGGAGCAAGAAGCUUGGAACCUAGGGAGGAGACUUCUCCAGACCUCUGUUUUUCAUAUCUAUUAUUAUGUGUCUGCAUAUGGGUGGACAGGGGGCGGUUGACCAGAUGAUUUAAGAUCCUUUACAAAUUUAAUAAUAAAAAUAUUUCUUUAAUGUUUAUUUUUGAGAGAGAGAGAGAGAGAGAGAGAGAGCAAGAGGGGGAGGGACAGAGAGAGAGGGAGACGCAGAAUCUGAAGCAGGCUGCCGUCUCCGAGCUGUCAGCACAGAGCUGGACUCGGGGCUCGAACCCACGAACGUUGAGAUCAUGACCUGAGCCCAAGUUGGACGCUCAACCGACUGAGCCACCCAGGCGCCCCCACAAAUUUAAUAUUUCAUGACAAAAAGACCCAAGACACGUAGAGAGCUCUUGGCUUAUAAACAAGCUCAAAGUCUACGCUAACUUCGCUAGAUGCUAUAAAAAUCGCAGAAAGCCACCCCCCUCCCCUCCCCCGCUCACAUACGCAGGAGAAGUUCUCUAGGGUCCUUGUAAAAGGUGAUGGUAGAUUUGUGAAGAGCAGUCAGUCAGUUUUCGAACCCCAAGUGCAGGGCAUGGGACCAUCCAAGGGAAUUCGGGGCCCUACGGGCUGUGGCUGGGGACAGAGUCAUAUAAUGAAAGACCGAGUUGUUCUGUAUUCAGGCUGGGGAAUGUGGUUUGAGUGGCUGUGGGAACUUAAACUUUCUGACUUUCUGCGUAAGAGAAAUCUCAACCCCCAAGCGUGUUGGAGUGACUUCUCUGACACAGCACAUGUAACUUGGCUCCCUCCUGAGGUCUGUUUUUCUUGCUCUCAGAAGAAGAAAUGGCCUAAACAAUCCUCAUGGGCCAGCAGUUGAAAAAAUAUUUGUUUUGGUUUUGUCGAGCGUGUUCCCCCUUUCAAACGUGAACGUUUUGAGGGGACGGGAGAUUCUCAGUGUGUACGGUUGAUUCAUUUACGCUUAACGUAUCAGUUGUUUUGAGGAGAGACCUUAUGUCCGAGGAGGCUAUAGGAAGCUUUACUGCCCUUUUCCUCUCAAACGGGAAGUUGCAUUUUGCCAAAAGUAAACACAUGUGAACCCGGGAAGGUUUGUUUAGCUUCUAACGCUGACUUCAGGACCUGGGAAUGGAGACGGCGCUUGGCAAAAAAAUGCCUUCUCCGGGAUCUAUCUGGGCCAAAAUGUUCUCUGCUCAGGACCUGGCCUUUGUGCUCUGGUAAACAUCCUCCCCGCACCAGCCCCCAGAAAUUCGCCGCCAAAGUCCCUCAGCGCCUUUGCUAACUUCUCGGGAACGUUCGAAAGCCGACGGCCACUUGCAAACACGCUGUUAGCGGGGCGCGGCUUUCCGAAGAGUGGCCGCUUUAUGGGGACAACCUGAGGUUUGGAGACGUCGGGGGACGUGCGUGCGGGUUGGCGUUCCGGCUGAAGACUUUUUAGGACAGUCACGGCUCCCAGUCCACCGACACGGUAGCACUAAGCACUUGGCAGGACUGAUCUUGUGAGUCCUCGCACGGGACUGAGGGGGAAGGCACUGUAACUCACACACAAGGAAACCCAGGCUCGCAAAUGCUGGGAAACGGCUCAAGGUCACAGAGCGAGGUGAGUAGUGGCGUCCUCUGCCUUCCGGUUUGGAGAUUUUAACUGGUUCAGGAUCCAUCUCCGAACCUCAGGAAGUUACACGCUAUUCGGGAGAGACCCACGCGAUCCAGGCAAAGAGCAACGGAGGGCAAUUUGCUAGGACAGGGCCAAAGAAUCGAGCAGGUUGCAUUUCAAGGUUUCCACGAACAUGUUUAACAUGAAACCUAUCUUGUUCCACGAAGGAUUUAGGGCAGGUGACAAAAACUGGGAGAGUGUCUGAAUAAGUAGAAAUGUUGCGGUCCACAGGAAUCUGGGAUGAUGCUCCCGAGAGGGGCUCUGGCUCGCCUUCAAAGACCCUGGAAGGACGGGUAGGAAUUCGAUAAGGAAGGAACGUCUCAGAGUUGGGGAAUCGGACCCCACCGUUUCUCUUGAGGGCUUGCAUCGGGAGCUACUUCAUAUGAACAUCCCGAGUGCACUAGGUGCCCUUCCUGGGCCCUGAGGUUGCUCUCUCUAAACUCGUACGUGCUUGACAAAUAUUUUAGCCGCCUAAACAUACACGGAAACACUUGGCCCGCGAUGUAAUCCAUCGCUGAGAGGCGGUGGCUAAGCCGGUUCAUUCCUCACCUGAAACACGGCCUCCCCCUACCUCGCUACGCCAUCAGGAGCCCGCCGUCCCACGUCCCCGUGGCACCGGUCUCGUCGUGGUUGGGAAAACACGCCGUUGCUUACGUUGCUUCCCCACUGUUCUUUACAGACGUUAUCUCGAAUCCGCACAGCUGCUCUCUCGUGGUAAGCGAGAUUAGGCCCAUUUCACAGCGGAUAAAACUGAGACUGAGGGAGAUUAAGAGCUUUGGCCCAUGCCAUAUACCAUCUCUCGAUGGUGGAGCCAACUCUUCGAUGGAAGAAACGGGGGUGAUGCUAUAAAGUGCUAGUGUUCCACGCCACGCACGUGGUCGCCCUGGAACAGAAUAAAGACCGCCCAGGCAGUUUUUGAGCCGGUAUUCUGGAUUUGCUUAAAGUCCUUACGAGAUGUUAACAGCUCGAAGUCCCGUAAUCGUACGGGAGACCUGAGCACCCCAGUGCAUUCUCUUUUAUUCAAUCUAACGGGGACACAGACCUCUGGCUUCCCUUGUAGAACCCCCCCUUUUGAAGUGUCUCUGUUUUCUUCAUUCGGAAGAACAGAUCAGCAUCUCUCAUGCAAGGCCUGGCUCUAUGCCCAUCUCACUUUUGCAAUGAAUUUAGCAACAUCUGCUUUGCCCAUUAAAGUGAUUUUUCUCUUCCUGGCCCUGAGCCUGUGUGCUUGCUGCAAUUGAUUACCAGCAAUUUCCUUCCCAAACCAGAGGGUUCAGUGAACUCUAAAUUGAAUUGUUGCUCACUGGGUCUCCUCUGGACCAAUGCAGACGGCUUACAUGCACAAUGGUCAAGCCGCUUUGGUUCCCAAAUCUAUAGAGGCCGAUGAUUCUGGUUACACACAGGGGGAGGGACCCGGUGAGUGACAGUUCCCAUUUUUUGCACACAGCGGCCUAGGGCUGUGGCCGUCUCUGGGUUUCUCAAUUUCAAACCUAAGGUAGGGGGCAGGGUUGGACUCAGCUUGUGUAGACCACAGUUCCUGCGGUGUUCACACGUCCUUUCUGUGACUCCCACUGUACCACCGAUGGCCUCAGAUGUAGCUGACCGGAAGGCUUACGUAAGAGACAACUGAGAAAAAUUAUCUCUUGCUCUAGAAGGAUCACUUAAAGACCUCUGAACGAGGGGUGCGCUGUACCCUUUCGAAGGCAACUGUGGGUCCUCCUGUGUGGCUCAGGCAGCUUUUUUUUUUAAGUUUUAAAAACAUAGUUAAUUAAUUAUUAUUAUUUUUUUUGAGAGAGAGAGAGAGGGCAAGCAGGGGAGGGGAAGAGAGAGAGGGGGAGAGAGACUCCCAAGCAGGCUGCAGGCCCAACUCGGAGCCUGACGUGGGUCUCCGUCCCACGAACCGGGAGAUCCUGACCUGAGCUGAGGUCGACAGUGGGAGGCUCAACCGACUGAGCCCCCCGCCCCCGCCCCCGCCGCCCCGAAGCGGUUUUUCUUAAUAAAGCGAAGUCCCAGAUGUGGAUCUGGCCUGCCGUUCCGUCAUUUCUCUGGCAGAUUCCUAGUCGUCUUUAAAGAUGUGGGCUGGCUGUCACCUCCAGGAAGUGGGUGCACACUCCCCCUGCUUUGCUUACCACGCUUAUCCUAUUUCAGUGCUUGUAUCUGCUUGGGUAGAGCCCUCUGACACGCGUCUUCCGGACCCUAUUCCUCGUUCACCCCACCACGCCCCCAUAUCCGGAGCAACACAUAGUAGGUCCUCAGCUGCCUGCCUUGUGGGAAGAUUGUACCCUGGUGCCUCAAGCCAUUCCCGGAACGUCUCUCUUCCCCCACAGCUCUGGGGGCUUCACAGAAGGACAGUGGGGCACAGCUGCUGACUUAAAGGAGCGGAACUCAGGAGUCCGCUCCAACACAUUUCCAAAAAAAAAAAAAAAAAAAAAAAAUCAAGAGGGCCCACUACCAUUCGUAACCAAGUCGCUGCUGUUUAUCAGAGUGGUUAAUUUAAAGCUGAGUGUCUACACUAAGAAAAAGGCGACACGCCUGACUAAACCCAGUGGUGGCGACAAUAACUUGAAAUCAUUUGAGUCAUUACGUUUUCUGUUUCUUUGAGAGACAUCCCCCGAUUCCCCCUGCGAUUGCGGAAGAAAGCCCACCUCUGUCAGUAAGCACUUCUGAAAUGAUUAUCGCACCCACGGCUGCCUAUCUGAUUCAGAUCUUAUUUUCACAGACCUCUGUUGCAAGCAUCGUUGGUGCUGAGCAAGCCCCUUUGCUUUUAUUUCUGGAAGAGGUCUCCUUUGUGUUAUUAUCGUAGUGAGAAGUGUGAGAAAGAGCGCGCUUUUCCAAAAAGGGACGGUUCAGCUUGCGGGUGUGAGACCCACCCCUCUUAGCCAAGCAGAUUCCGAGCUGAACCUCCCAAGCUUUCGGGGGAUCCUAGAGUAUCUCGCUUCUAGAAAGGUCUUAGGUCUUUACUGAAGCCCCGCACAUCGGCAGGUGGUCCUUGGACCUGCUGAGGAGAUGGGCAGGUGCGCUUCAAGGGUAGUUUAGCUGGGUCUCGUAUGCGGAUGUGUAGUUAAGGGGAGGGACAUUUAGCAUUUCUUUUUUAAUUUUUAUUCGUUUUCAGCUUUGAAAACCUAACAGAGGGAAGGCUGGGAAAAUGUUCCAAUUGCCUGCCUUUGCUCUGAUACGUCCAUUUGUCAGGUACAAUGGAACCUGGUGCCCUUCCGGGGGCCGUGCCUGGCCGCAGGGAGGGAGGGACCUUGAACCAGGCUGGGCCGUGUGCACUCCUGCUGUGUCACCUCUGCCACCAGGCGCCCUGGAGGCCUGGGAUACAGAAACGCAUCCUUCCCCUUCCAGAGCCUUGGCUCCAGUUGAACAAGGCUUUUCUUUUUAAAAAAAAUUUUUUUUAACGUUUAUUUAUUUUUGAGACAGAGAGAGACAGAGCAUGAACGGGGGGAGGGUCAGAGAAAGAGGGAGACACAGAAUCCGAAACAGGCUCCAGGCUCUGAGCCGUCAGCACAGAGCCCGACGCGGGGCUCAAACCCACGGACCGCGAGAUCAUGACCCGAGCCGAAGUCGGACGCUCAACCGACUGAGACACCCAGACGCCCCAGAACAAGGCUUUUCUAAGAGAAGUGGGUCACCCUGAUGUCCAGCUCGUCAAGCCCAUGCUUAGUCCAAAUUUCUGGAUUGGACAACUAGAGAUUUAAGGACGGGCUAGAAUGUAUCCAGAGCUAACUAGACCUCCUCCACCAUCACAUCACCUCCAGUGACCAAAGGGACAGUUCAUUUACACGGAUGCUUAUCACGUGCCAGGCACUGGGUAAGACCUUAGAGGCUUGACAGCAUAUCCUCAUCGCCCGGCUUCAUGAGGCGGGCUUUAUGAUCCCAUUUUAUGGAGGCUCUGAGGCUGUGGUUAUUUUAGGGAACAAGGAUUUGUUGAGGGGAGCGGGCACUGGCUAAGUGCUGGGGAGUGAAGUAAACACACUCCUUCCUUAAGGAAGUGUCCGUUGGCCCAAGAGGUCUCUGUUGGCCCGAUUCGAAAGCUUGCCAUGAACCCUGCACACAGUGCCUCGGAGAUCGGGACACGCCUGGGGACCUUCUUCAAUCUCCCGUCCACUCAGCAUGGACACCGCGGAGGGAGAAGAUGAGCUGAGUUCGUCUUUCCAAUGGUCCGCCACCGCGGAGUGUGAGCUCACUCGGGCGCGAGUCUCAGCCCGUCCGUCUUCUGCUGGGCACAGAAUGUGCUGUGGAAUGCGGGCCAACAAUCGCGUUCGCUGCGCGCAGUGAAGAUACGUGGAGCCCCGUGUGCUGUGACCGGCUACAGAGGAAGUCUUAUAGCCCUCUACGUGCAGUGAGCUUAAUUCUUCUUCUCUCUCCAUUUUCGCACGCCUCCACACUUCCUGCUCCGUCCUGGGCCUGCCAGUGCUGAAAACCUGAGACGAAAUGUCCUUCCGGUUUUUAGAGGCCGAAACCAGGAAGGACGGGGAAAUGGGAAGGCCAGCUCUCUCUGUCUGGGACACCAGGGCCGGGGCCGGAGACCCUGGACCACAUUUCCACACCUCCCUUGGGAGGGCUGGGCUCAGCGAGAUCAGUCAAGGACUCGCUCUUAGCUGCGGCUUCCUCAUUCAAGGGCAAGUUGAUUACCAUCCUUCUGGCUUCCUUUUCCAUUUGUAACCGAAAGGAGAGGUCUUUAGUGGGAGAUGAUGCUGAUAGUUAUUUCCUGAUUAGAUAGCUGUUUAUUCAUUCAAACGUAUUGAUGGAUCACCUAUUGCCGCCUCUAAAAGGAGCCCUCAUGGGAGCUUACGUUCCAACGGAGAAAACCGAGCAAACAGAACAGAUAAAAUCUGUGUCGUGUUAGAAGGCCCGAUUACCUCGGAGGAGCCCAGAAGAGGGUGUGAGGGGCGCUGGGUUGGGGGUGCUGCAGUUUUAAGUUGGUUCUCAGGGAAGGUUCAAAAGGAAGGUAAUAUUUGCAGUGAAGAUGUGAAGGGGUUAAGGGAGAAAUCCAUGUGGAUACUAAGGAUGAGGAUUUUAGGCAAACAGCAGGUGCAAAUGCCCAAGGCUGGAAGCUGCCUGCUGUGCCCCGGCAACAGCAAGGCGGCCGGAGUGACUGGACCAAAGUCAGCGGCGGGGAGAGUAGAGGGUGACACGGUCAGAGAGGAAAUGGGGCCAGAUAGUGUCACGAGGGCCUUGAGAACAGGGGAAGUCUGUAGGCUCCCUGUGAGUAAGAAGGGGAGCCUCUGGAAGGUGUUGAGCAGAAAAGGGACAUGGUGUGGUAAAGUUACGCGUUCCGCUCCGGCAGAAACACCGACACUUCCUACCCACUGGCCUGCGCGUGAGAAGCAAGGGGUGAUCGAUCUGACACCUGAGGGAGCCCCCUGACCUUCCGUGACAAGGCAUCACCCCCAUUUCCGUGGAGGCCAACGAGACUCAGAGAGUCGCAGUAACUUUCUCAGGCCGUGAGCCACGCAGCUAGGGCGUGGAUGAGCUGGACAAAAAGAGUGGCUCUCCACUUCUGAGGAUUCGUGCGGCUGGGUUGGGCCCACCCGAAUGAUCCAGGAUCGUCUUCCCUUCUCAAGGGGCCCCGAGAAGCCUCAAGAGAAGAAGAGAGAAGAAAAGACCCGGGGGAAGUGAACGGAACAGAAGACCAAGGGGAUGAUCCUUAUUUUGGAAGGGAAACCGGGUGACUCGGUAUCUGUGGAUGUAUACAUGCAGGUGUAAGCCGAGCGAAAACUCAAGACGAAAUGUACCAAACGGCCAUGGUCCAUUCUAUGUCCCAGAGAGUCUGUCUGCAAAGCCAUCAUGUUGACCCCUCUGACCCACACUUCGGUUACACUUCUCCGAGGCCAUCACAGUAACCGGGGAUGGGGUGGCAGGAACCUGUGCCCGUGGCCCAUUUCCAGGCUCCGUCUCUUCCAGCGCAGACCCGGCGCCCCCCCCAACCCCCCCGCCCCCUGUUCCCGCCCCAUGAAGCAGAAUAUCUCUAGUCUGCUCUUCAAGGCUGCUUGUACCCUAGCCUCGUCUGAUCCUCUGCCAGACUUCCAUUCGACUUCUCGGCCACACGGAAGGGACUUUCUACCCUCACACCACUUCCUGGUCCCUCUGCCAUUGCUCAAGUGUUUGUCCUUCUCUGGAAUGUCUCUCCCAUGGCCCCCUCCCCCGUCCCUUCCUCUCUGUCAUUGAAAUUCUGCCGUGUCUCUCUGGCUUUUCUGAAACACCAUCUCAAAUCUCCAUGAAGUCUUUCUUGACCCCUCCACCCCCCCCACCCCCAAGCUGGCCUGACUUAUCCAUCCUUUGAGCACCUUCUAUGGGGACUUUGUCCCUCUUCUUUGGGGCUUAUCCCAUUUUACAGUUAUUUUCUGUGCUCGUCUUUUCUCUUCCCCCCUCAGUUAUCCUCUCUUCAGAUCAGGCACUAGGUCUCUCCCUUUGCCAGGCUCCCCAUGGCAUCACAUGCAAAGGGCAUGUGCCGUCGGAGCAGUGUGAGUUAGAAGACAGGUGCCUGGGGGCUCCUGGGAGGCUCAGUCGGUUAAGUGUCUGACUUAGGCUCAGGUUAUCAUUUCACGGUUCGCGGGUUCAAGCCCUGUGUCGGGCUCUGUGCUGGCAGCUCAGAGCCUGGAGCCUGCUUUGGAUUCUAUGUCUCCUCUCUUGCCCUUCCCCCGCGUGUGUUUUCUCUCUCUCUCUCUCUCUCUGUCUGUCCCUCAAAAAUAAAUAAGUAAACAUUAAAAAAAAGAGACGGGUGCCUAAUUUGUCAUGGUUUGGGUGCAUGAGGGAGGAAACACCACUGAGGGGUGAUUAGAACCUCUUCUCUCUCUACGGACCACACGCAUUUUCAUUUUCACUCGCAUUAUCUCAGGCUUGAAAACGUCACUUCUCUGAAUCAACCUUUGCCACAGUUCCACCUCUCCUGUUAUUUGCUUACUUCUGAAAAAAACCUGACUCCCUAUUUUUACCUAGCCUGCCGUAAGCCGUAAAACUCCGUGAAAAUACUGGGUUUCAGGUGAUAGCCACGCAUCGAAUCAUUACGACACGACGCGAGACGUCUUUGCCAUAUACUGCUACAAGGUCUGACUUUGGGACGUGGCACCUGAUACCCAGGUGGGGCUAAAGGGCAUGACCAAGGUCGCUGAGCGCUCCGCCCUUUCCCACCAGGCCGCACCACCUCCGCGCACAGGACCGGGAGAUAAGACACGCAGGGUCCAUGGGGGGUCUGCUCGGUCACGGCCGGAAGCAAAUGUGUCUUGCUCAACACCGUGGGGGAGGCACGCUGCAUUGUUUGUGGACUCGGUGUGGGGCCCGAGCACACAAUGGGUGGUGCACCCAUGUCUGAGUUUAAGUUAAGAGCGCUGGUUCGCUCUCGAAUCCCCUCCUGUUCCCUCAGACAUUAUUUCCGGGGGGGAUGUCCGUCUCCCAUCAUCUGUGGCUGCAGCAGGCGGCCCGAGGGUGCUUUGGCCUCGCACCUGCCCCGGCUGCAAGCGCCUCCCGGGACACAGGGCGCGAGAAAUCCUUCGUCAUUUGACCCGGGCCUUUUGGGGCUCCCUCCCACCAGUCCCGGGAGCUCCUGAGGGCCCCUCGGGUAUCUUCCAGAAGAAGACAGCUGGUCUGAAGUGAUAGCUCAAGCAGGAAAUGGGGCCACGGCAGUGACACUCUAGGGCCAAGGAGCAGCUCGAAAUGGCCUCCUUUCUCUCAGCCCCUGCCUUUUCCUCAGAAGGAAAGAGAACGCUAAGACCACGGGGUAACCACGUUCACCACUGGGGACCAGGUCCCUUAAGUACCGUUUCGUCACUGCGAUGAAAGGGGACACUUACUUGUAAGAUGGGGGUAGAUUGUAACAGAAUUUCUUCAGUCUCUCUCUCUUUUUUGUGUGUGUUUUUUGUUUCUUAACGUUUACUUUUGAGAGAGAGAGAGAGAGAGAGAGAGACAGAGCGUGAGCAGGGGAGGGGCAGAGAGAGAGGGAGACACGGAAUCUGGCUCUGAGCUGUCAACACAGAGCCCGACGCGGGGCUCGAACUCACGAACUGCGAGAUCAUGACCCGAGCCUAAGUCAGAUGCUUAACUGACUGAGCCGCCCAGGGGCCCCUUCAGCCCCUCUUUGAAGAGUGUGUUCUUUGGGAAUUGCCAGGCCGCCUGGCAUAAGAGGUGAGGGCCAGCCACACGCUUUUUUCUUGCCACUGUGAGCACCAGAGCAGAAAGGAGAUGGGGGGAGGACACACCAGGGCGGCCACAGGCUCUAACAGGGGCAACGUGCUGGGGUUCAAGUCCCAGCCCGGCCGAUGCUAGCUCUUGGGAUCCGGGGUGGUUUACUUAGCCUUCCUACGUGUCUUUCUCAGCAUCGCUUCCCACAUGCAUAUACUGGAGGGCAAACUUCUUGGCAUGGUGGAAGGCACACAACGAGCACUCAGAAAUUCUGGUGCCUUCCUUCUCUCUACCAAUGUCCCUGCCUCAUCCGUGACUGAGUUAUUUGGGCACCUUUCUUUCCGACCACGUUGAUGAGGUCUUCCCGUGCUGUGAGCUUUGGAGACACAACAGACACCUAUGAAGUGACUUGAAAACCUUUAUGAAGCUGUGGGUCUGAACGGACUGCUCAAUAGUGCUUUAAUUCUGUCACAACGUUUCAGAAGGGGAUUCUGAGCCCUGGAUGGGUCCCUGAGUCUACAGCUCUUCAGCGUGCCUUUUGGCUUGGAGAUUCUAUAACUUGGCAGCCCUCGAUGUCACAUCAUAGACAGGGUAUGCAUAUAAUUUAUUGUGCAAACCAGGAAACAUUUGAUCGGGUGAAAGAGGCUGCUAUUAAAAAUGACAACUGGGAGCAGGUGUCAGUCAGGACUGUUUCAGGCAGGUGGGGUACAUCUUUACGCUACUCAGGGUACACAUUUUUGGCCCCAAGCUCUGUGUGAGUUAUAAACCUUUGUGCUUACCUGGUUUCUAUGCACCCUGAAUCAUACCAGCUUCCCCACCCCUCCCUCCAGCCAACAACACUGCUAUGUAGGCAAGGAUCUUCUGGAAGGAAGUUUGAGACCCAUGGCACGACACGCAUGUAAAUACCAUGUCAGAUCUGUCUAAAGAGACAAAUGGAAGCCAGAGGGUGAGCCGAUGCAGAAUCCAGAAAAUUCUUCGGCACCCCCACCGCCCGCCCCCACGUGCCCGCCUGGGCAGGCAGGCGACCAGCUGUGGAGGGAAGGAACAGGCUGGGGAAAGGGCCAGCCAGAUGCGGCUUGCAGAAAACCCGGACCAGAUUCCGUGCUCUCAGUGACUGGCUCUGAAGUGCCAGACCCACGAAGAGAACCGUCAGUGCCCUCCCUGGGAAACUGAGGACAGCAUACCUUUGCAUCCAUUGUCCGGGGUCGUUGAGGAUAAAAUGAUGUGAUGGACGCGGACAUAACUUACAAACUGCAAAUGCCAGGUGGCACCCUAAUCGGAGACCCUCAGUGCAAACCCCUGAAUUUUCAGAUGAAAAUCUGGGGUCCAGAGAGGUCAACAGGCUGGCCCAGCAUGGACAACUCCCUUUAUGGAGAUGUCGAUGACGUGUGUGUGAUGGGGGAGCGGUUGGCUGAGGAGGUAAAGUCUAAGAGGAGGAGAAGACCAGGGACAAACCAAGGAGGCAAAAACAUUUUCAAGGACCUUAAUGUAAAUGUGUGCUUGGGGAGAUGAGAAAAAUGAUUCUGUGGUUAUUUUUUAAGGGAGUGGGAUCCUCACAUCUUUUAUUCCUUGUCGUCAUGGACACUGACCAUCCGAGGCUUCGAGGCUGGAGCCAUUCUCCCUCUCUCUAUCUUUUUUAAUGUUUGUUUAUUUUGAGAGAGAUAGAGAGGCAGAUGGAGAGAGAGAGACAGGGAGAGAGAGAAUCCCAAGCAGGCUCUACACUCAGCUCAGAGCCCGACGCAGGGCUCAAUCUCAUGACCGUGAGAUCACAACCUGAGCCGAAAUCAAGAGUCAGACACUCAGUCCACUGAGACACCCAGGCGCCCGGCCACUUUCUUCAUAAAGAUGCUCCUUUGGCCUGACUGUCCGACUUGGACACUAACAUGGGUGGUGGGGGCCUGGCCAGGCUGGAAAAGGAUAUGCAGACCAGAGAGGAUCUACCUUGAGUAGGAGAAGGUGGAGGCAGCUUAACUGAGCAAUGGAGAGCACAGACUCUGGAGACAGGCUGCCUGGAGAAGAAUCCCAGUUUUGCUGCUCACAGCUGUGUCACCUUGGGCAAGUUGCCUAAGCUUUCUGUGCCUUCGUUUUCUCAGCUGUAGAAUGAGAAUAUGAAAGUGCCCACAUCACAGCAUGGUGUGAGGUUUCAGCAGGUUAAUACAUUUAAGAGUCUUAGAAAGGUACCUGGCACACAUCCAGCUCUAUUCACUUGUUUAUUAAAUAAGAAUAAAAUACGUAAGGGUGUCCAAGGUGGACACGGGUGAGAGGCAGUAGUGAGGAGUAGGGGGAAGGACUCUGGCUUCAUCGUCAGACAGACUUGCAUUUGGAUCCUGAUUCCACGACGUUUUGCUCUCGACGUUUGUGUUUUUCUGAUUAUCAAGGGCAUAUGUGUUUGUAGUAGAAAAUUUGGAAAAUAUAGAAAGCCAGCAGGGAGCAGAUAGAGGUCAAGCCCACUUCUACCACGUGGAGAUGGUCACCACGUAAGUCUUGCUGGCAAUGUGAUCUGCAUCGGGGUUUGGUCCUGAUGCUGGUAGCUUGUUGGUUUUUAUUAUUCCUCCGUUGUUUGCAUAUCCCUCAGGGAGAGAUCCAGGAACCGCUGGAGGGCCAGGAGGUGUAAACAUGUAUGCUAAAUAAAAUAUUUGUUUUGACAAUGAUGAGACCCUCGAUAUGUAGCUCAGAGCCCCUAAUCUACCCACUUUUCACAGUUCUCCGUUCUUGACCGUGAGGAGCUCAGUUUUCUAGUGAGACAGCAUGCCAAGCAUUUAGAUUGAGACUCAUAAAUUUCGUCUUCCAACUUCCCUGCUGUAAUUACUUGGCCGCCCACGUUAUUGUUGCCAAUUGCCAAGUGUGGUGGGUGAGUGACAGGUAGAUUAUUUGUGCCUGAUGUGGGUCACCCUUGUGCUGGGUCUGAGUGCUUUUGUUUAAUGCUCUGCGAGGAGGCCAUAGUCGGGUAGCAGAGCAGGAGUUAUAGGAGAAGUCUGUUGGGUGAUGAUUUGGCAGCUCAAGGAAAGUUGUAAAUUAGGCUGUCAGGAGGGAACUUUCUGGCAGACUCUGUGAACAAACACAAGGUGUGAGUUGGCCAGAACUUGUAACAAGCUGACUUUCUCUCUCGCUGGUGGUUUCCUCUUGUUGGUCUUUCGGAGAAGUGGUUAGACGUGUUAACUAUCACCAAACAGAAUCUGAACGGCUUUGGAGGUACGGGGGUGGCCAACGGUGGUGAAGAGGAGGGGCACGGACACGCAGGUCCACAUUCAGAGCAGCAUUCGUGGCCUCUGGAGAUGUCACCAAAUCUCCUCCUGGGCACUGUCCAUGAGCCGUGGCACACAAGCCAAGUUUUCUGGUCAUUUUUGUGACUUCAGUGGGACGGACUCCAGUAACCCACUCUCUCUGCCUUCAGUGUCAGAAGAGGAGAGGGCCUAUAAGGUAAAGGAAUGAGAUUAAUAUGAUGGAAGGUUUUCUCUCUCUUCUCCCAGUAUAGUGGAAAAGCAAGCAAGCAAGCCAGCCUCGAUAUGUAGGGUCAAUCCAAUUGUGUACAUUGGGUAACUUCCCUACUGGAACUGUCUCCUUUACUCGAUGUGACAACUGAUGACUUCCUUAGAAAUAGGUCUAUCUUUCCCACUGGGGCCUGAGUCAACAUGGCCAGCAGCUAAUUCGGAUGACCUGGCAUUCUGGUUCACCCAGGGCAGCCAGAGCUGACGAGGCCUCAGUAUCCACCCAUACAUUUUCAUGGAACCCCACUUCCUUCGCAAAAGUGUUCCAAUGAGGAUAAUAAAUUACGUGAGCCCCCUAACAUGAAGGAACUCAGGGAGAGGACUACUUUCUCUUUUCAGUGUGUGGCUUUGCUCAGAAAAAUCUGUAGUGCUUCUGUCUCAAAGACUCCCUGCCCGGGACUCCCGGUCCGAUUUCUCUCAUUUCUCCCGCAACAUCCCGCCCCGGCCGGCACAGCCGCCUCUUGGCACAUUGCUUUUCAGCCUUUUUUCAUCAGCAGAACCUACUUUUUUUAGGAUGCAACAUUAGACAGAGGCUUCAACAUUGGAAACAGAUCAAGCGGAGCUUUUCCUGGUAGACGCGAGGGUAAGGAUCUCAGGAACCCACACAUUUG